CUUCACCGCAUUGGGCAGCGGCGGGUGAGAAGGCGGGGCCGUGCGACGCUGGAGUGACGUCACGCCGCGUUCUGCAGCUGCUGGGAGAGCGGAGCGGUGACUGGCAGGAGGGGAGAUGGCAAGCUGGCAUUAGAGUUGGGCAUUCCCUGUUGGAACAAAGGACAUUGAAGAUGGGGGCACUGACAAGUCGGCAGCAUGCUGGAGUGGAAGAGGUGGACAUGCCGUGUAAUUCCCUCUACAGAUACCCACCCAAGUCUGGGAGUUACUUUGGCAGCCACUUUAUUAUGGGAGGGGAAAAGUUUGAGUCCAGCCACCCCGAGGGCUACUUGUUUGGGGAAAACUGUGACCUGAAUUUCCUUGGGAGCCGGCCAGUCACGUUUCCUUAUACAGCCCCUUCUCCACAAGAGCCAGUGAAAACUCUGCGCAGUCUGAUCAACAUCCGUAAGGACACACUGCGCCUGGUCAGGUGCACCGAGGAGCUAAAGGCCACCGGGGUGGAGGGGAGCCGCCCCAAGGUGCAUUAUAAUGUGGAGUUCACCUUCGAUACAGACGCACGAGUUGCAAUCACCAUUUAUUACCAGGCCACUGAGGAGUUCCAGGGGGGCAUUGCCAGCUACCUGCCCAAAUCCAGCAACCUGCAGUCGGACACUGUGCACUUCAAAAGAGGGGUGAGCCAGCAGUUCUGCUUCCCUUCCCAUACAGUGGACCCAUCUGAAUGGAGAGAAGAGGAGCUGACCUUCGAUCUAGACAGAGAGGUUUACCCUAUGGUGGUCCAUGCGGUGGUGGAGGAAGGAGAAGAGCAUCUUGGACACUCCCACGUACUCAUGGCGACAUUUGAGAAGCAUGCCGACGGCAGUUUCUGUGUGAAACCCCUGAAGCAGAAACAAGUGGUGGAUGGAGUCAGUUACUUACUGCAAGAAAUCUACGGUAUUGAGAAUAAGUACAACAGCCAGGACUCCAAGGUAGCCGAGGAUGAAGUGAGUGAUAACAGUGCGGAAUGCGUGGUGUGUUUGUCCGAUGUGCGGGACACGCUCAUCCUGCCGUGCAGACACCUGUGUUUGUGCAACGCGUGUGCCGACACAUUACGGUACCAGGCCAGUAACUGCCCCAUCUGUAGGCUCCCUUUCCGAGCCCUCCUCCAGAUCCGCGCCAUGAGAAAAGUCCCUGGUCCACACUCUCCGGCUGGUUUUAGUCCCAUUAUAGCAGCCCCAACGUCAGAUUCAGAGGAGCACACGUCAGAACAUGUACCUCCUGGAUAUGAGGUGGUCUCUCUUCUAGAGGCCCUAAAUGGUCCCCUGACCCCAUCACCCUCUGCACCCCCACUGCGGGCUCUGGGAGAAGCAAGGCGCCCUGGGGGUCUGCCAUCGUACGGCAGUGACAUACACCUACGCAUGCACUCCCCCUUGCAGCAUCUCUGUGGGAGCCAGGCCUUAAAGCUAAAGAAGAGCAUAUCUAGGUCCAUUUCCCAGAAUUCCUCAGUGCUGCAAGAAGAUGAGAUGGAGAAAUCGUUCAGUGAAACAGAAAUUCGGACGCCUAGGAAAAAGACAUCCCAGCUGGCAGAGGAGUGCGGAGCCACCCCAGAAAGUGAAAACCUGACCCUGUCUUCCUCUGGGGCCAUCGAUCAGUCUUCCUGCACGGGAACACCCCUGUCUCCCACAAUCACCUCCCCUGAAGACCCCCUGAGCAGUAGCCUGGCGCAGUCCGUAAUGUCCAUGGCCUCGUCCCACAGCCAGCAGUCCCAGCUCAGUACUGACACCGUAUCUUCCAUGUCGGGCUCCUACACAGCUGGGGGAAUGGAAGAGGAGGAGGGGGACAUCACUCCGUCGCCCCCAGCAGCUGCAAGUGGCUCCCCCUCCAUGGGGGGAGAGCUGUCACCAGCAGAAUCCCCAGAGGCACUCUUUGUGACCGUCUCUGCAGAGGAAAUGGAUGCAGAGGGAAAUGUCACCGAGGAAGAAUUUGCAUCGCCAGAGGAAGAUGAUGGGCAGAGGACUGGCAGAGAGUGUGACAAUAACAAUGCUGCUGGUGUCACGCUGAGGGACGUUCUGGACAAUGUGCGGGGCUCUGAGGGCUGCCUGGCCGGUGAGUGGCUGCCUUCUGAACAUGAACUCUUCACCUCCUCUGUCUCUCCUUAGAGCCCCGCCCCUUCCCUAGUGCCCGUUUGUGGCUGGCACUUGCACUGCAGAUGUGUGUUACACCGGUGUCCCUGGGCAGCCACGGAGAAACCCCUACCAUGGGUCAGACAACUGCAUCUCUCUGCAGGAAAACAAGCAGAGCCAGCUGGGCACCCAGGAAGUGUGAACGCCGGCCUCUCGUAUACUGACCCGACUUGCUGCUUACCCCGGGGACACUUCUCAUCGAGAGGUUUCGCCAUCCCACGGUCACUCAGGAUAACUCACGGACUUACUCCUACCCACCCCAUCUCACGCCUUCCUGGUACUUUGGACUUUUUUGGGAGCUGCUUUGAGAUGUACAUAUAUAUGGCAUCUUCUGCUGGGAAGGGAAGCUUGUUCCACUCCUCUGUUUAAUGUCUGUCCUACCCACGAUGUACAUAUUCUGUGUAUAAAUAUAAAGGCAGGGGGUGGCGCAUUAUAUCA